GAUGAACGCUGGCGGCGUGCUUAACACAUGCAAGUCGAACGAAGCAUUUAGAACGGAUUACUUCGGUUUGAAGUUCUUUAUGACUGAGUGGCGGACGGGUGAGUAACGCGUGGGUAACCUGCCUUGUACUGGGGGAUGGCAGCUGGAAACGGCUGGUAAUACCGCAUAAGCGCACAAUGUUGCAUGACAUGGUGUGAAAACCUCCGGUGGUAUAAGAUGGACCCGCGUCUGAUCAGCUAGUUGGUGAGAUAACAGCUCACCAAGGCGACGAUCAGUAGCCGACCUGAGAGGGUGACCGGCCACAUUGGGACUGAGACACGGCCCAGACUCCUACGGGCGGCAGCAGUGGGGAAUAUUGCACAAUGGAGGAAACUCUGAUGCAGCGACGCCGCGUGAGUGAAGAAGUAAUUCGUUAUGUAAAGCUCUAUCAGCAGGGAAGAUAGUGACGGUACCCGACUAAGAAGCUCCGGCUAAAUACGUGCCAGCCGCCGCAGUAA
rnacentral:rRNA from 1 species